CCCUGUAGCGCAAUGGAUAGCGCGUUAGUCUUCUAAUUCAAAGGUCGUGGAUUCAAAUCCCACCAGGAAGG
rnacentral:tRNA from 1 species